UCUAACCAUGGGCAGGUUGAAGGUUGGGUAACACUAACUGGAGGACCGAACCGACUAAUGUUGAAAAAUUAGCGGAUGACUUGUGGCUGGGGGUGAAAGGCCAAUCAAACCGGGAGAUAGCUGGUUCUCCCCGAAAGCUAUUUAGGUAGCGCCUCGUGAAUUCAUCUCCGGGGGUAGAGCACUGUUUCGGCAAGGUGGUCAUCCCGACUUACCAACCCGAUGCAAACUGCGAAUACCGGAGAAUGUUAUCACGGGAGACACACGGCGGGUGCUAACGUCCGUCGUGAAGAGGGAAACAACCCAGACCGCCAGCUAAGGUCCCAAAGUCAUGGUUAAGUGGGAAACGAUGUGGGAAGGCCCAGACAGCCAGGAUGUUGGCUUAGAAGCAGCCAUCAUUUAAAGAAAGCGUAAUAGCUCACUGGUCGAGUCGGCCUGCGCGGAAGAUGUAACGGGGCUAAACCAUGCACCGAAGCUGCGGCAGCGACGCUUAUGCGUUGUUGGGUAGGGGAGCGUUCUGUAAGCCUGUGAAGGUGUACUGUGAGGUAUGCUGGAGGUAUCAGAAGUGCGAAUGCUGACAUAAGUAACGAUAAAGCGGGUGAAAAGCCCGCUCGCCGGAAGACCAAGGGUUCCUGUCCAACGUUAAUCGGGGCAGGGUGAGUCGACCCCUAAGGCGAGGCCGAAAGGCGUAGUCGAUGGGAAACAGGUUAAUAUUCCUGUACUUGGUGUUACUGCGAAGGGGGGACGGAGAAGGCUAUGUUGGCCGGGCGACGGUUGUCCCGGUUUAAGCGUGUAGGCUGGUUUUCCAGGCAAAUCCGGAAAAUCAAGGCUGAGGCGUGAUGACGAGGCACUACGGUGCUGAAGCAACAAAUGCCCUGCUUCCAGGAAAAGCCUCUAAGCAUCAGGUAACAUCAAAUCGUACCCCAAACCGACACAGGUGGUCAGGUAGAGAAUACCAAGGCGCUUGAGAGAACUCGGGUGAAGGAACUAGGCAAAAUGGUGCCGUAACUUCGGGAGAAGGCACGCUGAUAUGUAGGUGAAGUCCCUCGCGGAUGGAGCUGAAAUCAGUCGAAGAUACCAGCUGGCUGCAACUGUUUAUUAAAAACACAGCACUGUGCAAACACGAAAGUGGACGUAUACGGUGUGACGCCUGCCCGGUGCCGGAAGGUUAAUUGAUGGGGUUAGCGCAAGCGAAGCUCUUGAUCGAAGCCCCGGUAAACGGCGGCCGUAACUAUAACGGUCCUAAGGUAGCGAAAUUCCUUGUCGGGUAAGUUCCGACCUGCACGAAUGGCGUAAUGAUGGCCAGGCUGUCUCCACCCGAGACUCAGUGAAAUUGAACUCGCUGUGAAGAUGCAGUGUACCCGCGGCAAGACGGAAAGACCCCGUGAACCUUUACUAUAGCUUGACACUGAACAUUGAGCCUUGAUGUGUAGGAUAGGUGGGAGGCUUAGAAGUGUGGACGCCAGUCUGCAUGGAGCCGACCUUGAAAUACCACCCUUUAAUGUUUGAUGUUCUAACGUGGACCCGUGAUCCGGGUUGCGGACAGUGUCUGGUGGGUAGUUUGACUGGGGCGGUCUCCUCCUAAAGAGUAACGGAGGAGCACGAAGGUUGGCUAAUCCUGGUCGGACAUCAGGAGGUUAGUGCAAUGGCAUAAGCCAGCUUGACUGCGAGCGUGACGGCGCGAGCAGGUGCGAAAGCAGGUCAUAGUGAUCCGGUGGUUCUGAAUGGAAGGGCCAUCGCUCAACGGAUAAAAGGUACUCCGGGGAUAACAGGCUGAUACCGCCCAAGAGUUCAUAUCGACGGCGGUGUUUGGCACCUCGAUGUCGGCUCAUCACAUCCUGGGGCUGAAGUAGGUCCCAAGGGUAUGGCUGUUCGCCAUUUAAAGUGGUACGCGAGCUGGGUUUAGAACGUCGUGAGACAGUUCGGUCCCUAUCUGCCGUGGGCGCUGGAGAACUGAGGGGGGCUGCUCCUAGUACGAGAGGACCGGAGUGGACGCAUCACUGGUGUUCGGGUUGUCAUGCCAAUGGCACUGCCCGGUAGCUAAAUGCGGAAGAGAUAAGUGCUGAAAGCAUCUAAGCACGAAACUUGCCCCGAGAUGAGUUCUCCCUGACCCAUUAAGGGUCCUGAAGGAACGUUGAAGACGACGACGUUGAUAGGCCGGGUGUGUAAGCGCAGCGAUGCGUUGAGCUAACCGGUACUAAUGAACCGUGAGGCUUAACCUU
rnacentral:rRNA from 1 species